rnacentral:rRNA from 1 species
CCUACGGGAGGCAGCAGUCGAGAAUCAUUCACAAUGGGGGAAACCCUGAUGGUGCGACGCCGCGUGGGGGAAUGAAGGUCUUCGGAUUGUAAACCCCUGUCAUGUGGGAGCAAAUUAAAAAGAUAGUACCACAAGAGGAAGAGACGGCUAACUCUGUGCCAGCAGCCGCGGGAAUACAGAGGUCUCAAGCGUUGUUCGGAAUCACUGGGCGUAAAGCGUGCGGAGGCUGUUUCGUAAGUCGUGUGUGAAAGGCGCGGGCUCAACCCGCGGACGGCACAUGAUACUGCGAGACUAGAGUAAUGGAUGGGGGAACCGGAAUUCUCGGUGUAGCAGUGAAAUGCGUAGAUAUCGAGAGGAACACUCGUGGCGAAGGCGGGUUCCUGGACAGUAACUGACGCUGAGGCACGAAGGCCAGGGGAGCGAAAGGGAUUAGAUACCCCAGUAGUC